rnacentral:other from 1 species
GCUAACCUGCUGUGUUCGUGAUGGUGCCUUCAGUUUUGAGCCAACACCCAAAAUAGGGGAGUCCAACAUCGGACAUUAACGUGAUAGGCUUGAGCCAAGACGCAAAUGUCGCGCGGACACCCACCUGCGAAAGCAGGUUCAAAACACCGCCCACACGGCAUAGCGGGGUUCUU